GAGAUGAGAAUGUGCCUUCGGGAACCGUGAGACAGGUGCUGCAUGGCUGUCGUCAGCUCGUGUUGUGAAAUGUUGGGUUAAGUCCCGCAACGAGCGCAACCCUUAUCCUUUGUUGCCAGCGAUUAGGUCGGGAACUCAAAGGAGACUGCCAGUGAUAAACUGGAGGAAGGUGGGGAUGACGUCAAGUCAUCAUGGCCCUUACGACCAGGGCUACACACGUGCUACAAUGGCGCAUACAAAGAGAAGCGACCUCGCGAGAGCAAGCGGACCUCAUAAAGUGCGUCGUAGUCCGGAUUGGAGUCUGCAACUCGACUCCAUGAAGUCGGAAUCGCUAGUAAUCGUGGAUCAGAAUGCCACGGUGAAUACGUUCCCGGGCCUUGUACACACCGCCCGUCACACCAUGGGAGUGGGUUGCAAAAGAAGUAGGUAGCUUAACCUUCGGGAGGGCGCUUACCACUUUGUGAUUCAUGACUGGGGUGAAGUCGUAACAAGGUAACCGUAGGGGAACCUGC
rnacentral:rRNA from 1 species